UYGCGGCGGCGCACGGAUUGCCUGCAAGCUGGGAUUUGAUACUCUUCUGCUGCUGCUGUGUCCUCCACUGAGCCCCUCAUCUGUAACUUUCCGGUUCCUCMUUUUCUUCUUGAGCAGCUGCACGCUCCGGCGAGCCCGGAGCCCGGCGCCCUGCGAGGACGGACCUGCCGUUCCCGGGGCCGGGCCCAUUCGUAUCACGUCAGCCGGGGCUGGGGCGCCCGCCAAGCCGCUAUCGGYGGGAUGAGUCACUUUUCCACGGAGCCGGACAAUGCACCUUCUCGCCUCCCCUCCGCG
rnacentral:lncRNA from 1 species